GACAGAGGAUGCAAGCGUUAUCCGGAAUGAUUGGGCGUAAAGCGUCUGUAGGUGGCUUUUCAAGUCCGCCGUCAAAUCCCAGGGCUCAACCCUGGACAGGCGGUGGAAACUACCAAGCUGGAGUACGGUAGGGGCAGAGGGAAUUUCCGGUGGAGCGGUGAAAUGCGUAGAGAUCGGGAGGAACACCAGAGGCGAAGGCGGCGACCUGGACAAUUACUGACACUCAACUACGAAAGCGUGGGGAGCAAACAGG
rnacentral:rRNA from 1 species